GGCCUUUUGAAUUUAAUUUAAGGUCUGACCUGCCCAGUGAUAAAUUUAACGGCCGCGGUAUACUGACCGUGCAAAGGUAGCAUAAUCAUUAGUCUUUUAAUAGAGGGCUGGAAUGAAAGGUUUCACGAGGAACUGACUGUCUCAUUUUAUUUGUUUUAAAAUUUAAUUUUUUGGUUAAAAAGCUAAAAUUUUAUUGGUAGACGAGAAGACCCUAUAGAGCUUUACAUGUAAUUGAUUAGAUAUUUUUAUAUUAAUAUUUCUAAUUAUUUUUGUGUUUUGUUGGGGUGACAAAAAUAUAUAAUUAACUUUUUUAUUUAAAUUACAUUGAUUUAUGAAUAUUAGAUCCAUUCUUGUUGAUUAUUAGACUAAGUUACCUUAGGGAUAACAGCGUAAUCCUCCUCCAGAGUUCAUAUUUACAGGAUGGGCUUGCGACCUCGAUGUUGGAUUAAGAUAAUAAUUAGGUGUAGUCGCUUAAUUGAUAGGUCUGUUCGACCUUUAAAUUCUU
rnacentral:rRNA from 1 species